AGAUUGGGCCGGGCCUCACCGAGCGCGCCCAGGAGGCCGUAGGUCUCGCGCAUCACAUCCCGGUACAGAGUCCUCUGAGCGGGCUGCAGACACCCCCACUCCUCCGAGGAGAAGUACACGGCCACGUCCACGAACUUCAAGGCCCUUGGCCUCCUGCCCCUUUUCCGAGUAGGUCCAGCCUCUCCGACUGCCCGCAGGAGAAGCGGAGCCGAAGGUGGCGCCAUCGGACCUGCUCCCCGGCCUUGCCACGGGGACCCGGAGACCUAGAAGCUCCGUCGGGAAGGCCCGGAGGAAAUCUGAAUCGGCUGCCUGAGGGGCCGGGCGGCCCGACACAGACCGUUAUUCAGGGAACUCCCGCUGGAACUUGGGUGAGAGGCACCGGAAGAUGCCUUCGGGGAAGAUGGCGGCGCUGCUCCUGCACCACCGCUGCCUAGAACACAGGCAGGUUCCAGCUAUCGAUUUUAUUGACCCGAACGCCAUGCCGACUUCUUAACCUCCUUGCCCUAAAGUGUAAUGGCGCUGCGAGAUGGCUUCUUGCCUACUUUCCUCCUAUCUAUUGCAUUCGUUUAUUGGUUGGUAGCUGAAGAUCGGGCGUUCUGAUUGGUCAUCAAUGAAGGCGGCCCAUUUGAAUGAAGCCAACGGAUUCUUAAGGGCAAGAAGGUGGAUCCUGUGUCUCUAAGCCGGUUGUGAGAAGUCUUAUGAAUGGGAGGCUUUUCUUGUGUUCUCCAACGCUUGUUUGCCCUACUUGGAGAAGACGUUUCUACAGGUCUUCCAAAGGGAAAGUCACACAGUGACAACAUGGAUUUUUGAACAGCUACAUCCUACGAUCAUAAAGGUGUCACAGCCAGGAAUUCUGAAAAGUACUAGAUGAGAAGGGAGCGGUGGUAAGGAUCUGGUGCACAAAAGGCGCGUCUGGUAAAAUUGAAUGACUAGAAUGGUAAGUUGACUGGUCUUGUACCUUGGGCAGCUCCUAAGUAGUCUAUAGAAGUGAAUGGCCUACCUGAGUACCAAGGAAGUUCGCUUGUUUAGAGGUGAGACCAAUAGCUUUGGGCUUACCCUUUCUUUGUACAGUGGAAUGCACAUUUAGGCUACCAGGGGGAACAAAAGACAGAUGGCUAGUUGAUCCUUUCAUUUAUAAUGAAGCAGGGAAAUCACCCCUGUACCGUUGCUUUCCGAAAUAGUGCAGCUGUGUCAACGUGUGUCAGGAGUGCAUGGGCAACAUAGACCCUGUUUUUAAAUGAAGAGUGUAUAGCCCAGUGGCAGGCAUUUGCCUAGCAUGCAUGGGGCCCAAAGUUCUAUAAAAGUAUUUUUAAAAUAGAUACCCAGGACUGGGUAUGAAGCCGAACCUAUUGCUCCUUUCUGAAUAAUUAUCAGGUAAGGAAGACUGCACAGAGGGUAAAUAGGAUUCGCACAUCUAGAGGCCACACAGAGAGGCUGUGCCUUCGCUGCUGAGAGCCAGCCAAGCACCUGGACUAUUCGAGUAGAUGGUGUCUGAAACUUUAUGUCUAGAGUCCUGGACUCCCCCCUCCAUAGAGAACUACAACAAAAA
rnacentral:lncRNA from 1 species